ACGAACGCUGGCGGCGUGCUUAGCACAUGCAAGUCGAACGGAAAGGCCCUGCUUUUGUGGGGUGCUCGAGUGGCGAACGGGUGAGUAACACGUAAGUAACCUGCCCUUGACUUUGGGAUAACUUCAGGAAACUGGGGCUAAUACCGGAUAGGAGCUCCUGCUGCAUGGUGGGGGUUGGAAAGUUUCGGCGGUUGGGGAUGGACUCGCGGCUUAUCAGCUUGUUGGUGGGGUAGUGGCUUACCAAGGCUUUGACGGGUAGCCGGCCUGAGAGGGUGACCGGCCACAUUGGGACUGAGAUACGGCCCAGACUCCUACGGGAGGCAGCAGUGGGGAAUAUUGCACAAUGGGCGGAAGCCUGAUGCAGCAACGCCGCGUGCGGGAUGACGGCCUUCGGGUUGUAAACCGCUUUCGCCUGUGACGAAGCGUGAGUGACGGUAAUGGGUAAAGAAGCACCGGCUAACUACGUG
rnacentral:rRNA from 1 species